AGUCAAUCAACCUGGUAAUCAGCAGACAACUUACUAAUUAUUUACACAUCUUGAUACAAUAGAAUGCAAGCACCUGAUUCGUAAAAUAAGGAUGUAGAACCUCUAGAAGGGAGAGCAGGAUACUCCAAUUGGCUGAAUGUGGGAGGAAUAUAACAUUUCGAAAUGCACCUGAGUUCUUGGGGCAUCGUUCAUUUGAUUUGUACUCACUUGAGGGUUCCGGCGUAUAUAUAGACAUAUGUAUGGACACACCAACGAAGUAUUGUGUUCUCACUUGAAUUUUGGUUGCUCCAAACACUUCUAAAGAAUCAACUACCCUGAAUCAUAUAUGAAAUCAAUAAGUACACGUGACACAAAGUAUCUGACAUAAUAGUUUUUUAGUUACAGAAGUAAGAAAUUCAGCCUGCAUCUUAAAUACAAAAAUGAUAUCUGAAUUAUCGUCCUAAGUGUCACUCUCAGCUAUCAAUACAAACAGAUUGAAAAAAGAUACAGAGAUAAUAUGGCACAGUAGACGCCUUUGGUACAAGUUACUAAUCUAUUUCUUCAUUUCUUUUGCGGUGGUGACGCUAGUUCUAGGUGUGACCUAUACAACUGAUGUGUCAAUAUGGCACCAACAAAACAUGCUGAGACUCAUGCACAGUUCAAAUUUAAACAUUGCUUCUAUCUAACCCAGAUAUCAAUGACCACACCUAUUUUUGUAGGAAGGCUACUUCUUUAGCAUGUGAUAGACCUUUUGAUAAAAGUUCCCUAAUAACUGCUUCCCAAAUACGCUGGCCUCUGAAGAAGAAAGUGGUGCCUUCCUGCAUUGAUCACAGAGGAUCAUCACUCAGGAUAUCAGAUAUCUGCUAAGGAACUGAACUGUAUGAAGUAGGAAUUGACAAGCAAGUUACAGAAGGUUCCGCCAACCUGAAAUUCAUCUCCGACGUUUCCAGAAAAUGACACACCAUCACAGUAUCUUCACUUUAAUUAUAAAAAUCUGCAGGUCCAAAUGACUAUUUCUCAGCAGAUGUCAAAGUGUAGUGCCUAUAUCACUACAGACUGAAUCAAAAAGAUCGCUCACACAUAAAAAGGGAUUCCUAAAAUCCACCCAGAACAGCAAGAUAUUAUUCCAUCUCAAACAAAAUUGAACAAUAGGUCUAUAGCUCAUUAUUACAACAAACUCGACUGCCAUACAAAAUAACAGGCUACAACAAAUUUUGUGACAGAAGCUAGAAAGUAGAAAUCUUACAUCUUUUUCAAAGAUCUGGCGGUUGUUGGCUUGGAGCUCCUGAACCUGCUUUUCGCAUACAGUGCAGGUCAAAUCUCAGCCUCUUGUCAUAGUCACAGUAUGAUCUCCCCUGAAAUCCUCCUCACGGGC
rnacentral:lncRNA from 1 species